rnacentral:rRNA from 1 species
AUGCAAUGUCUCCGACACACCCGUGAAAACGCCCCUCCACCCACUUAGGGGUACGGAGCCGAUAUCAGGCGCAAACGCCCAAAACAUCUAUUUAUACCACACCCACAAGGGCCUUCAGCAGUGAUCAACCUUAAAAAUAAUCGUCAGUUUGAUUUAGUUAAUGCAAACAGAGCCGGCCAACCUGGUGCCAGCCGCCGCGGUUACACCAUGUGACUCAAGUUGACCCCCAACGGCGUAAAGCGUGAUUAAAGAGAGAUUAACUUCUAGGAUUAAACUUAAACCGAGCUGUUGCACGCCUGUUCCUAAGAAAGUCAUAUUCGAAAGAUAUCCUAAAACACCAACUUGAACUCACUACAGCUAGAACACAAACUGGGAUUAGAUACCCCACUAUGUUUAGCUAUAAACCUUAACUUACCCCCCCCCCCAUCGCCAGGGAACUACGAGCUAAAGCUUAAAACCCAAAGGACUUGACGGUGCCCCACAUCCAUAUAGAGGAGCCUGUCCUACAACCGACACCCCCCGUUCUACCUCACCACUUUUAGCUUAUCAGCCUGUAUACUUCCGUCGUCAGCUUACCGCAUGAGCGAGAUCAGUAAGCCUAAUAUCACCCUCUAACACGUCAGGUCAAAGUGCAGCAAAUAAAAUGGCAAGAGAUGGGCUACACUUUCUAACCUAGAAAACACGAAAGACUAUGUGAAACCAUAAUCAGAAGGUGGAUUUAGCAGUAAGAAGAAAGUAGAGCAUCCUUCUUAACCCGGCACUGGGGCAUGUACACACCGCCCGUCACCCUCUUCAACUAACCUAUUCUAGUUAUUAACAAACCCCCCCCCC